GUCUUGCACUUCUGGGGACAUCCAGUUUAUUGGAACGAUAUAGAGAAGAUUAACAAGGUCUCUGCUCUUGACAUGCACAAAUCGUGAAAUGGUUCAAUUUUUU